rnacentral:rRNA from 1 species
UACGAAGGGGGCUAGCGUUGCUCGGAAUUACUGGGCGUAAAGGGCGCGUAGGCGGAUAUUUAAGUUAGAGGUGAAAGCCCAGGGCUCAACCCUGGAAUAGCCUUUAAUACUGGAUAUCUUGAGUUCGGGAGAGGUGAGUGGAACUCCGAGUGUAGAGGUGAAAUUCGUAGAUAUUCGGAAGAACACCAGUGGCGAAGGCGACUCACUGGCCCGAUACUGACGCUGAGGCGACGAAAGCGUGGGGAGCAAACAGG